UGGGGAAUAUUGGACAAUGGGCGCAAGCCUGAUCCAGCAAUGCCGCGUGUGUGAAGAAGGCCUGCGGGUUGUAAAGCACUUUUGUUCGGGAAGAAAUCAUGCUGGUUAAUACCUGGUAUGGAUGACGGUACCGAAAGAAUAAGCACCGGCUAACUUCGUGCCAGCAGCCGCGGUAAUACGAAGGGUGCAAGCGUUAAUCGGAAUUACUGGGCGUAAAGGGUGCGUAGGCGGCCUUUUAAGUCGGAUGUGAAAUCCCCGGGCUCAACCUGGGAAUGGCAUCCGAUACUGGGAGGCUAGAGUUUGGGAGAGGGUGGUGGAAUUCCCGGUGUAGCGGUGAAAUGCGUAGAGAUCGGGAGGAACAUCAGUGGCGAAGGCGGCCACCUGGCCUAAAACUGACGCUGAAGCACGAAAGCGUGGGGAGCAAACAGGAUUAGAUACCCUGGUAGUCCACGCCCUAAACGAUGAGAACUGGACGUUGGGAGGAAUUCGCCUCUUAGUGUCGAAGCUAACGCGUGAAGUUCUCCGCCUGGGGAGUACGCUCGCAAGAGUG
rnacentral:rRNA from 1 species